UUAUCUCUGUAGAGUCUGCAUAUCAAUAAGCGGAGGAAAAAGAAAACUAACAAGGAUUCCCUUAGUAAACGGCGAGUGAAGCGGGAAAGAGCUCAAAAUUUUGAAAAUCUUCAAGGUUUCUACCUUGACGAAUUGUAGUUUUAAAGAAGUGUUUUUUCUGUUAGAUGAGUAGCAAAAAGUUUCCUUGGAAUGGGGAACAUCAUAGAGGGUGAGAAAUCCCGUAUUUUGGUUUAUUCAUUCUAGCUUUUGUGAUACACUUUUCAAAGAGUCGGAUUGUUUUGGGAAUGCAGUCCAAAAAUGGGUGGUAAAAUUUUCAUCUAAAGCUAAAUAUUGGCGAGAGGACCGAUAGCGAAACAAGUACCGUGAGGGAAAGAUGAAAAAGAAACUUUGAAAAAGAGAGUUUAAAACAGUACGUGAAAAUUGUCAAAAAGGGAAAGCGUUUUGACACCAGUGUUUGUUUUUUUUCCGAAAAAUCAAUUAACAAAAUGGCAUUGGAUUUUUGUGUUUGUAUUGACCUUAUCAGCUUUUCUGCACUUUUUUUUUGAGUCUUUUCUUAAUGCACUUUUUUGGUUAAACAAGUCAACAUCAAUUUUCUUUUUGUUGUAAAGGAGUAUUCGGAAGGUGGCUUUUCUUUUCGGAGAAAAGUGUUUUUAUAGCCCUAUACUUCUACAAUCGGAGAGAUUGAGGUCUGCAGCGUAGAUCCUUCGGGGUUAGAUACACUUGUGCUAAGUUUGUAGCUUUUUCAUAGACAAACUUGUUGACUAUGUUUUAGUCCAUGCGGCUUACUCGCUUGUGCUAUUUUUACCUACGCUUAGGAUGUUGACGAGACUGUCGAUCUC
rnacentral:rRNA from 1 species